rnacentral:tRNA from 1 species
GCGGGUGUAGCUCAAUGGUAGAGCCUUUUGCUUCCCAAGCAAGUGACGAGGGUUCGAUUCCCUUCACCCGCUCCA